GGACUACAGGGGUAUCUAAUCCCGUUCGCUCCCCUGGCUUUCGUUCCUCAGCGUCAGAAGACCCCCAGUGAGCCGCCUUCGCCUCCGGUAUUCCUGAUGAUAUCAACGCAUUUCACCGCUCCACCAUCAGUUCUGCUCACCUCUAGGUCCCUCAAGCACAGCAGUUUGGAGCGCAAUUCCUCGGUUGAGCCGAGGGCUUUCACACCCCACUUUCUGCGCCGCCUACGAACUCUUUAAGCCCAGUAAAUCCGAAUAACGUUUGGGCCUCUCGUAUUACCGCGGCUGCUGGCAC
rnacentral:rRNA from 1 species